GAAUUGCAUUCUUCAUGGAGAAACACAGACCGAAAAAGAUCUUCCAGCCCAGCAGCAAGAAAACCACCACUGACUUUUAGAAGUCGAGUGCAAACAGAACAGAAAGGUAGUGAACGCCACCUCCCCCUGACUCCUCUCUUUCUCUGGAAAUCUGCCCCAGGAGGUUUUGUGUUUCUUUCAUACAUUGUUUUUGCACAGAAAAAGUCUCUCUCAUGCACACAUGAGACUCCUGAGACCACCUCACUCCUGCCCUGCACACUUUGUGCACACUCCUGGAUCAGCGAUGCCCUUCUGUCUCCUGGCACACGCAGGCCACAGCCAGAGGCCACCCCCACCCCACUGGCAAGUUGGCGUCUGCAGGCAGAGUUCACGGGUCACUCAAUCCCAGGCCUGGGCCCAGCAGGGGCCUGAGUGGUCCUUGCCCACAAGGCGGACAGCCUUGAGGACCCAGGAGCCAGGACCAUGCUGCCGGGGCCUGAUCCCCAGCCUUGCGUAACUUCUGGCAACUUCUUGCUCUCUGCAUGCCCGUUUCCUUGUCUGUAAAAUGAUAGGAUUCAAUGAAGACACAGCUGGUUCAAGAGAUCUGUUGUACAACGUGGUGACUCUAGUUAGUGACAGUGUACACCUGCUUGAACAUUGCUACAUAGGAUCUUAAGUGUUCUUAUGGAAUGAGACCACCACUUCUCCUGUUGUCCUUCCCAGCUUCCCCACCUCCCCUUUUCCCUAGUUUAUAAGACAGUAGAAAAGGGAGAAAGCAAAAAGUUGGAAAGAAACAGAAGUAAGAUAAAUAGCUAGACGACCUUGGCGCCGCCACCUGGCCCUGGUGGUUAAAACAAUAAUAAUAAUAUUAACCCCUGACCAAAACUACUGGUGUUAUCUGUAAAUUCCAGACAUUGUAUGAGAAAGCACUGCAAAACUUUUUGUUCUGUUAGCUGAUGUAUGUAGCCCCUAGUCACGUUCCUCACACUUACUUGAUCUAUCAUGACCCUUUCACGUGGACCCCUUAGAGUUGUAAGCCCUUAAAAGGGCUAGGAAUUUCUUUUUCGGGGAGCUCAGCUCUUAAGACUUGAGUCUGCCGAUGCUACCAGCCGAAUAAAAACCUCUUCCUUCUCUUCCUUCUUUAAUCCGGGUCUGAGGAGUUUUGUCUGCGGCUCAUCCUGCUACAUUUCUUGGUUCCCUGACCGGGAAGCGAGGUGAUUACUGGAUGGUCGAGUCAGCCCCUUAGGCAGCUUAGGCCUGCCCUGUGGAGCAUCCCUGCGGGGGACUCCGGCCAGCUCGAGCGACGUGGAUCCUGAGAGCGUUCCCGGGUAGGCACUUGCCCCUGUGGAACGCCUCAUCAGAGCAGUGUAUGGCAGGCCCCCAUGGAGGAUCAACGCAGUGGCUGAACACCAGGAAGGAACUGGCACUUUAAGUCUGGACAUCUGAAACUUGUGACGCAGCAGUGUGUUACCUGCCGACAGCAUAAUGUGAGGCAAGGUCUAGCUGUUCCCCCCCGGCAUACAAGCUUAUAGAGCAGCCUCCUUUGAAGAUCUCCAGGUGGACUUCACAGAGAUGCCAAAGUGUGGAGGUGUUCGAGUGUGGAUCAAGGACUGGAACGUAGCCUCUUUGUGCCCAUGGUGGAAAGGACCCCAGACUGUCGUCCUGAUCACUCCCACUGCUGUGAACGUAGAGAGAAUCCUAGCCUGGAUCCAUCACAACCGUGUAAAACCUGCAGCGCCUGAAUCCUGGGAGGCAAGACCAAGUCUGGACAACCCCUGCAGAGUGACCCUGAAGAAGAUGACAAGCCCUGCUCCAGUCACACCCAGAAGCUGACUGGUCCACGCACAGCCGAAGCAUGAGGAAGCUCAUUGUGGGCUUCAUUUUUCUUAAAUUUUGGACUUACAGUAAGGGCUUCAACUGUUCUUACUCAAACUGGGGACUAUUCCCAGUGUAUUCAUCAGGUCAGUGAGGUAGGACAGCAAAUGAAAACAAUCUUUCUGUUCUAUAGUUAUUAUCAAUGUAUGGGAACGUUAAAAGAGACUUGUUUGUAUAAUGCCACUCAGUACAAGGUAUGUAGCCCAGGAAAUGACUGACCUGAUGUGUGUUAUAACCCAUCUGAGCCCCCUACAACCACCAGUUUUGAAAUAAGAUUAAGAACUGGCCUUUUCCUAGGUGAUACAAGUGAAAUAAUAACUAGAACAGAAGAAAAAGGAAUCCCCAAACAAGUAACUUUAAGAUUUGACGCUUGUGCAGCCAUUAAUAGUAACAAGCUAGGAACAGGAUGUGGUUCUCUUAACUGGGAAAGGAGCUACAGAGUAGAAAAUAAAUAUGUUUGUCAUGAGUCAGGGGUUUGUGAAAAUUGUGCCUUUUGGCCAUGUGUUAUUUAGGCUACUUGGAAAAAGAACAAAAAGGACUUGGUUCAUCUUCAGAAAGGGGAAGCCAACCCCUCCUGUGCUGCCAGUCACUGUAACCCACUAGAACUAAUAAUUACCAAUCCCCUAGAUCCCCAUUGGAAAAAGGGAGAAUGUGUAACCCUGGGGAUCAAAGGGACAGGGUUAAACCCCCAAGUUGCCAUUUUAGUUCAAGGGGAGGUCCACAAGCACUCUCCCAAACCAGUGUUUCAAACCUUUUAUGAGGAGUUAAAUCUGCCAGCACCAGAACUUCUGAAAAAGAUAAAAAAUUUGUUUCUCCAAUUAGCAGAAAAUGUAGCUCAUUCCCUUAAUGUUACUUCUUGUUAUAUAUGCGGGGGAACCACUAUCAGAGACCGAUGGCCUUGGGAAGCCUGAGAGUUGGUGCCCACUGAUCCAGCUCCUGAUAUAAUGGGGGCUUGUCCAGGAUCUCAUCAGGACUGGAUGGCUCUCGCUGGACUAUACUGGAUAUGUGGGCAGAGAGCCUACAUUCAGUUACCUAAUGAAUGGGCAGACAGUUGUGUUAUUGGCACUAUUAAGCCAUCCUUUUUCUUAUUACCGAUAAAAACUACUGGUACUAUCUGUAAAUUCCAGACAUUGUAUGAGAAAGCACUGUAAAACUUUUUGUUCUGUUAGCUGAUAUAUGUAGCCUCCAGUCACAUUCCUCAUGCUUACUUGAUCUAUCAUGACCCUUUCACGUGGACCCCUUAGAGUUGUAAGCCCUUAAAAGGGCUAGGAAUUUCUUUUUGGGGGAGCUUGGCUCUUAAGACAUGAGUCUGCCAAUGCUACCGGCCAAAUAAAAACCUCUUCCUUCUUUAA